AACGAACGCUGGCGGCAGGCCUAACACAUGCAAGUCGAGCGGACCCUUCGGGGUUAGCGGCGGACGGGUGAGUAACGCGUGGGAAUAUGCCCUUCUCUACGGAAUAGUCCUGGGAAACUGGGGGUAAUACCGAAUACGCCCUCUGGUGGAAAGUUUUAUCGGGGAAGGAUUAGCGCACGUUGUAUUAGGUAGUGGGUGGGGUAAUGGCCUACAAAGCCGACGAUCCAUAGCUGGUUUGAGAGGAUGAUCAGCCACUCUGGGACUGAGACACGGCCCAGACUCCUACGGGAGGCAGCAGUGGGGAAUCUUAGACAAUGGGGGCAACCCUGAUCUAGUCAUGCCGCGUGAGUGAUGAAGGCCUUAGGGUUGUAAAGCUCUUUCAGCUGGGAAGAUAAUGACGGUACCAGCAGAAGAAGCCCCGGCUAACUCCGUG
rnacentral:rRNA from 1 species